rnacentral:rRNA from 1 species
CUAAAGCUAAUACAUGCACCAAAGCUCCGAUUUUUGAAGAGCGCAUCUAUUAGAUUAAAACCAAUCGGGUUCGCGCCCGUCAAUUGGUGACUCUGAAUAACUAUAGCUGAUCGCAUGGUCUUGAACCGGCGACGUGUCUAUCAAGUGUCUGCCUUAUCAACUUUCGAUGGUAGUUUAUGUGCCUACCAUGGUUGUAACGGGUAACGGAGAAUAAGGGUUCGACUCCGGAGAGGGAGCCUGAGAAACGGCUACCACAUCCAAGGAAGGCAGCAGGCGCGCAAAUUACCCACUCUCGGCAUGAGGAGGUAGUGACGAAAAAUAACGAGACCGUACUCUUUGAGGCCGGUUAUCGGAAUGGGUACAAUUUAAACCCGUUAACGAGGAUCUAUGAGAGGGCAAGUCUGGUGCCAGCAGCCGCGGUAAUUCCAGCUCUCAAAGUGUAUAUCGUCAUUGCUGCGGUUAAAAAGCUCGUAGUUGGAUCUGCGCCUCAGGACUUGGUCCGCCCACUGGGCGAGAACUAGGCUCCUGGGCUAGUUCUGCUGGUUUUCUCUACGUUGCCUUCAUCGGUCGCGUAGGGUGGCUAGCGAGUUUACUUUGAAAAAAUUAGAGUGCUUCACGCGGGCUUAUGUCUGAAUACUCGUGCAUGGAAUAAUAGAAUAGGAUCUCGGUUCUAUUUUGUUGGUUUUCUGAUCUGAGAUAAUGGUUAAGAGGGACGGACGGGGGCAUUCGUAUCGCUGCGUGAGAGGUGAAAUUCUUGGACCGUAGCGAGACGUCCGACUGC